rnacentral:sRNA from 1 species
UCGAAAUUCUUGUCUCUCGGGAUUCUUUUCUUUCACAUCAUCGUAGUUUUGUUGCUCCGGUAGCCACUGUCUGAGGUUCUUCUUGGGACUUAUGGUAUCUCCGAACUUAUACACAGAUAAAGACAGAGGUGCAAGGUUGAAACGAAUGAAGAAAUGACAGAAACUGAUUCAUGCUGCUUGAAUACACAUGGAAAUAUAAUAUUUGAGUUUGAUCUGAGUGUAUGUACAAAUGGCAGCCAUGCAAAAGGGUGAGAUUCAAAUUCAUCAAGGCUUCUGUUGUGCAACACAGUAAAUGCAGCUGAGAUGUAUUAUUAGAGUGAAGAGCCUCAAUCACAGAUAUUAUGUUAAGCUUCCAAUCCUGAGCUUAGUUAUUUUAAAUGAGAAUUACAAUCUUACAAUCACAUUCAG